GGGAGGCAGCAGUGAGGAAUUGUUCGCAAUGGGCGCAAGCCUGACGACGCAACGCCGCGUGGAGGACGAAGAUCUUCGGAUCGUAAACUCCUGUCGAGCGGGACGAACGGCCCCGGACCUAAUACGUCCGGGGAGUGACGGUACCGCGCGAGGAAGCCCCGGCUAACUCCGUGCCAGCAGCCGCGGUAAUACGGGGGGGGCAAGCGUUGUUCGGAAUUACUGGGCGUAAAGGGCUCGUAGGCGGCCUUGUUAGUCGGACGUGAAAUCCCUCGGCUUAACCGGGGAACUGCGUCCGAUACUGCGAGGCUUGAAUCCGGGAGAGGGAUGCGGAAUUCCAGGUGUAGCGGUGAAAUGCGUAGAUAUCUGGAGGAACACCGGUGGCGAAGGCGGCAUCCUGGACCGGUAUUGACGCUGAGGAGCGAAAGCCAGGGGAGCAAACGGGAUUAGAUACCCGUGUAGUCCC
rnacentral:rRNA from 1 species